rnacentral:tRNA from 1 species
GAGGAUAUAGCUCAGUUGGUAGAGUGCUUGCCUAGCAUGCACAAGAUCCUGGGUUCAAUCCCCAGCACCACCA